rnacentral:lncRNA from 1 species
UGGGCCGCCCCCUGCCGUGUGGGGGGCACGUGAAGGCGUGGAAGGAGGUGGGGAGGAGGGCGGGAUCCAGGCCGCCUAUUGGCUGGGCUGGGGGGCGGCCCAGAGGGCUGAAGUUUGCAGCGAGGAGCAGGCCACCGCCGGCCGUCCAGGGGCCGUUGUUGCUCUACAGGCCUUCGGAGGUGCGAAGGUUGGAGGACAUGACGAGGAAGUUGGGCGGUGUGGCAGGUGUGUUGCUGGGCGCAUACAUCUUCCGGGUAUACAAAGCCAAGAGUUUCUUGAUAAAUGUGUUAAUAAUUCAGUGCCCACGGAAGUAAAGAACACCCAGAAACAGAGCCUAUGGGGUAAAAGAGCCUGACGGAGGCUAAGCCAUGUCUUGAGUCAAAUGGUAAGCACUAAGGUUGAGAGUAAACACAAAUUUUCCCUAAAAGAGGAGAUAUAUUCUCUAAACAAUGAUAGGUAAAAUAAAGCUGUUUUGGAGUUCAGUGUAGAGGACUGAGAUGUUUCCAAAAGACAAAUUAGGGGCUGUCACAGCGUCAUGAAGAAUGAGACUGUCAGCAGCGACAAGAAAAGAAUUAGUGACAAAGGCCCAGAGUUGUGAAGCCAAGGUUUAUGUCUCUCCCAGCCAGCAGGGAAGUAAAGAGGAGUGUCAAAGGUGACAGG